rnacentral:lncRNA from 1 species
UUGUGGUGUUGGCUGUCAAUGUUAUUACACCCACGUUAACAGACAGCUGUCAGUAGGGCUGGGAAUUUCCAGGGACCUCAUCAUACUUAGGUGCCGAUACGAUUUGUAUUGUGAUUCUCACAAUUCUAUUUGUAUUGUGAUUCUCACGAUUCUAUUUGUAUUGUGAUUCUCACGAUUCUAUUUGUAUUGUGAUUCGAUACUGUGAUUUCAUUGCGAUUCGAUGUUCCAAACAUUGCUCACCACAUGUCUGCUGCAGAGGGACAAGAGAGCGAGCCAGGAGAAAAUGAGUUUUGAUCAGUCUAUGAAUUAAAAGUGCUGAAAACAAAUUGACUCCCAAUUUAAAAAGAAGAUGGAGAACAACACCUAUGAAGGAAAAAUACUGGAGUUUUUUGUGCUGGUACAGCCAGCCAACUAGCGCAUUAAAUAAUAUUGGGAUAUUGUCAAACUGAUAUUGUCUCAACAUGUCGUCAAAUAAUAUCCCAAUAUGUAAAUUGUUUUAAAGUAAGACACAACUGGUGUUGGAGACUAUCAGUGUCUCUAUGGUGGUGUUGGAGACUGUCAGUGUCUCUAUGGUGGUGUCAUGUCCUCCCACCACCACCACCACAUGGUGUGUCUGGCCCCCCUCCAGACUGUCAGUGUCUCUAUGGUGGUGUUGGGAGACGGUCAGUGUCUCUAUGGUGGUGUUGGACCCUGUCAGUGUGUCUAUGGUGGUGUUGGAGACUGUCAGUGUCUCUAUGGUGGUGUUGGAGACUGUCAGUGUCUCUAUGCUGGUGUUUGAGACUGUCAGUGUCUCUAUGGUGUCUCUAUGCUGGUGUUGAAGACUGUCAUUGUCUCUAUGGCUGGUGUUGGAGACUGUCAGUGUCUCUAUGGUGGUGUUGGAGACUGUCAGUGUCUCUAUGGGUGUUUGGAGACGUCAGUGUCUCUUGCUGGUGUUGGAGACGUGCAGUGUCUCUAUGGUGGUGUUGGAGAGACGUCAGUUGUCUCUAUGGUGGUGUUGGAGACUGUCAGUGUCUCUAUGGUGGUGUUGGGAGACGGUCAGUGUCUCUAUGGUGGUGUUGGACACGGUCAGUGUCUCUAUGGUGGUGUGGACUGUCAGUGUCUAUGGUGGUGUUGGAGAUGUCAGUGUCUCAUGGUGGUGUUGGAGACGUCAGUGUCUCUAUGUGGUGUUUGAGAUGUCAGUGUCUCUAUGCUGGUGUUUGAGACUGUCAGUGUCUCUAUGCUGGUGUUGGAGACUGUCAGUGUCUCUAUGCUGGUGUUGGAGACUGUCAGUGUCUCUAUGCUGGUGUUGGAGACUGUCAGUGUCUCUAU